rnacentral:rRNA from 1 species
AGCGAACGCUGGCGGCAGGCCUAACACAUGCAAGUCGAACGGAUCCUUCGGGGAUUAGUGGCGGACGGGUGAGUAACACGUGGGAACGUGCCUUUUGGUUCGGAACAACUCAGGGAAACUUGAGCUAAUACCGGAUGUGCCCUUCGGGGAAGAUUUAUCGCCAUUAGAGCGGCCCGCGGUCUGAUUAGCUUGUUGGUGAGGUAAAGGCUCACCAAGGCUACGAUCAGUAGCUGGCUGAGAGGAUGAUCAGCCACACUGGGACUGAGACACGGCCCAGACUCCUAC